GGUAGUAGCAAAUAUUCAAAUGAGAACUUUGAAGGCCAAAGAGGGGAAAGGUUCCAUGUGAACGGCACUUGCACAAGGGUUAGUCGAUCCUAAGAGUCGGGGAAAACCCGUCUAAUAGCGCUUAUGCGCGAACUUCGAAAGGGGAUCUGGAUAAAAUUCCAGAACUGGGACGUGGCGGUUGAUGGCAACGUUAGGAAGUCCGGAGACGUCGGCGCGAAUUUUGGAAAGAGUUAUCUUUUCUGUUUAACAGCCUGCCCACCCUGGAAAUGGCUCAGCCGGAGGUAGGGUCCAGCGGCUGGAAGAGCACCGCAUGUUGCGUGGUGUCCGCUGCAUUCCCGGCAGCCCUUGAAAAUCCAGAGGACCGAGUGCCGCUCACGCCCGUUCGUACUCAUAACCGCAUCAGGUCUCCAAGGUGAAGAGCCUCUGGUC
rnacentral:ncRNA from 2 species